AGUGAACGCUGGCGGUAGGCCUAACACAUGCAAGCCGAACGGCAGCACAGUAAGAGCUUGCUCUUACGGGUGGCGAGUGGCGGACGGGUGAGGAAUACAUCGGAAUCUACUUUUUCGUGGGGGAUAACGUAGGGAAACUUACGCUAAUACCGCAUACGACCUACGGGUGAAAGCAGGGGACCUUCGGACCUUGCGCGAUUGAAUGAGCCGAUGUCGGAUUAGCUAGUUGGCGGGGUAAAGGCCCACCAAGGCGACGAUCCGUAGCUGGUCUGAGAGGAUGAUCAGCCACACUGGAACUGAGACACGGUCCAGACUCCUACGGGAGGCAGCAGUGGGGAAUAUUGGACAAUGGGCGCAAGCCUGAUCCAGCCAUACCGCGUGGGUGAAGAAGGCCUUCGGGUUGUAAAGCCCUUUUGUUGGGAAAGAAAAGCAGCAGGUUAAUACCCCGCUGUUCUGACGGUACCCAAAGAAUAAGCACCGGCUAACUUCGUG
rnacentral:rRNA from 1 species